UCAGGAUGAACGCUAGCGGCAGGCUUAACACAUGCAAGUCGAGGGGCAUCGGGAGUAGCAAUACUGCCGGCGACCGGCGCAAGGGUGCGUAACGCGUGAGCAACAUGCCCGUAUCAGGGGGAUAAUCCAUGGAAACGUGGUCUAAUACCCCAUAGUAAUUAUGUAAGGCAUCUUAUAUAAUUUAAAGCUUUGGUGGAUACGGAUUGGCUCGCGUGACAUUAGCUAGAUGGUAAGGUAACGGCUUACCAUGGCUACGAUGUCUAGGGGUUCUGAGAGGAAGGUCCCCCCACACUGGAACUGAGACACGGUCCAGACUCCUACGGGAGGCAGCAGUGAGGAAUAUUGGACAAUGGAUGGAAAUCUGAUCCAGCCAUGCCGCGUGCAAGGAAGACGGCCCUAUGGGUUGUAAACUGCUUUUGUAUGGGAGCAAUAAGGGCUACGUGUAGUCCGAUGAGAGUACCAUACGAAUAAGCACCGGCUAACUCCGUGCCAGCAGCAGC
rnacentral:rRNA from 1 species